UACGGGGGGGGCAAGCGUUGUUCGGAAUUACUGGGCGUAACGGGCUCGUAGGCGGCCAACUAAGUCAGACGUGAAAUCCCUCGGCUUAACCGGGGAACUGCAUCUGAUACUGGAUGGCUUGAGUUCGGGAGAGGGAUGCGGAAUUCCAGGUGUAGCGGUGAAAUGCGUAGAUAUCUGGAGGAACACCGGUGGCGAAGGCGGCAUCCUGGACCGACACUGACGCUGAGGAGCGAAAGCCAGGGGAGCAAACGGG
rnacentral:rRNA from 1 species